UACGUAGGGCGCAAGCGUUAUCCGGAAUUAUUGGGCGUAAAGAGCUCGUAGGCGGCUUGUCGCGUCUGCCGUGAAAGUCCGGGGCUCAACUCCGGAUCUGCGGUGGGUACGGGCAGACUAGAGUGAUGUAGGGGAGACUGGAAUUCCUGGUGUAGCGGUGAAAUGCGCAGAUAUCAGGAGGAACACCGAUGGCGAAGGCAGGUCUCUGGGCAUUAACUGACGCUGAGGAGCGAAAGCAUGGGGAGCGAAUGGG
rnacentral:rRNA from 1 species